CUGCCCUUGGCCCUGUGAAUGAUUCCUCCCCCAUGCUUCUGCUUCCAUGCUGAAGUAGAUCACUGCAGUCCCAUGGUCGUCUCCAGUCUGCAGUAGAUCCGGGUCUUCUCUUCCCUCCCACACCUUUAGCACUUUAGAGGAAGUUCUGGCCUGGGGUCCCAUGGAAUUCCAUCCCAGAUGAGCAUGCUUGGCAGUUUCUCAGAUUGAGUUGCAGCGUCAUCGGGUUUGGGGCGAGCAAAGCAGGCGCGAGGCCUCCCCCUAUUUCACACCCAGAGCACGUGGAACGCUCAACUGACUUUCCGGUGGUCUCCGCCGCCACCUCUUAGUUCAAUGUUUCUGCUGGCAGGUCCCAGACUGUUCAAUGCCUCUCUCUGAACUGGGAAUGAAGAGUUGAGGACCACUGGAUGCUGUGAAGCACCUUUUAGAAGGCUAAGCCUCAGAAGAACAAGAUCGGAAAGCAAAACAGUGAGUUUUGUUCUACUGUAGGCUCUGGCCAUAAUGUAUCACUUUGGGCCUCAGGCAAUGGAAGGAGUGGAGUGUGGCCUGAAGCUUCCAAAAUUGUGAUCCCAACGUAACCUUCUCUGCCAAGAAGCUGCGCUUGGGCAUUUGUGAGUGAUGGUAGGCGAACUGACAUGCUUGUCUCCUGGGAGGAAGGCCCAUAAAGUGAUUCCCUAGGGCCAGAGACAUCCUAGCCUCAAACACUACUGAGAAAUGCUAAGACGCCUGAAGCCCACAGCAGACCUCCCAGAAAGGAAAGUUUGUGAAGCGCCAUUCAAACAUGAGCCCUACAGGUCCUCCUGCCACCCGCCUCUUUCCCACUUUCAUCUCAUCUGGGAAGGAUCAACUGCAGGAGGUGGAUGAGAAAGGAAGCAGCAAGGUCUGCUCAAGUCCAGCUCACCUGACAUACCCUGCUGUCCAACCCCACGUGUGCUGCUGUGGAUGCUGGGAGCAGCUGCAGCGUCACAGAGGAAAUCCCCUUUGACUUGGGAUCCAGUGAGACAUCACCUGAUUACAUAGGCUCCAUAAUACUCCCUCAGGACAGGAGAACCAGAGAUGAGAUGUCAGGAGGAGAUCCCCUGAGAAGCUGUCACUGGACCCUAUCAUCAGUGAGCACUGGCCGCAGCCAGGCGGCCCCCAACAGCCUCCGACACCACCAGACGAAGGGGCUGAAAGGAGGUGGGGGUGCAGAUUGUUCGCUUGUUUCCCACUCUAUGUUGUUGCCUCUCUAUCUCAGAGGAAAACAGCACAUUUCCCAGGGGUGAAAACAGGCCCAGCUCUGUGGUCGUCAAACCACCAGGGCUGGGGGGUGGCCUGGUAUGGGGAACCCCAAGAGUGACAGGAAGGAGCCAGGCCGGAAUUCCAGGAGCCUGUCUGCUCAAACACCUGUUGGCAUCCAGACAACCCUGGGAGCCAGGCACAAGCUCGCCUUCCUCUCCUCUAGCUGCUGGAUCUGAGCUAAUAGCACCUUCACUCUUUAGUUCAACAUGAAGCCAGUACUGUCCUCUGGGGGAUGUGAUCCACAUGGCUUCCACCUUAUGAAGCUUCAUCCCUCCAGUCUCUGUAAGAUAUUGGGAUGGAACGCCCACAGUGAGAGAACUGAGUGUCCCACUGGACUCAGGGGCUUCACCAGUUCGCCCCUCCCUCAUCCUCACCAACUUUAUCACUGACCAGCGCAGAGACUGUGCCUCCUUCCUGCAAGCACCAAAGGUGCUGGUCCCUAGCCCCAGGAUUCCAGAAACUGGCGGAAUUUUUCCUGUCCCGUGGAGGGAUAUCUUGACUUAUAUUUUGACUAUACGUUUGAGAUUUUUCUGCUACACUGAGGCAAGGUAAGUUGGUAUUCUCAGGCUUGGGACUCAACCACUGUUCUUUACAAAGCCAGUAGCUGUGGGACUACUUUGUUCCCAGCUUAGGGACCAGGCAUAGGAGGAUGUCUUGAGGACUGUGUGACUGCAAAUAUCAGCUACAUGGACCCCUGCUGGCUUCUCCAGAACACUGUGGAAGGGUUUGAGAAUAUGUCCCCAGCUGAUCCCUGCAAAGUCGAUGCAGAGCUGCAGCUGCGCCUACCCCUGGACAACAUGGCUGGGGGGAAGGGCAGUGUCUCUCUACUUCGUCCCAGGUCACUGCUGAUGUGAAGAUGAGGGACUUGGGAAUAUCCACUUGGACAAUCUCUCCUUGGCCUUAAAGGGCUGGUCUGCCCUGAAAGAGUCACAGCUCAGAGAGGCUGCUCUUGAGAUCACAAGUUCUAACGAAACAUAGAGAACUCCAUAGCUGUCACAUGCUUCUGCGUGGCUACCUGGAUGGCUUAGAAGACACUGUAAUUGAACCCCAAGGGCUCUCGUGUCUGUGACUGAAAAGACAAAUCAUGCAGAUGAUGCAUAAAGAGAUGAGAAAGAUUUAAUACCCUCAGCAGGUAAGGAAUCAAUUGAGCCGCUAUCCCCUCGGAGGGAAGCGUGGGCGUAUUUCACUCAGGGACCUUAAAUACAUUCCUGGAUGAGUAGCCAUUCAUAAGCAUGCUUGGCCAAGGAGCUUAUGGCCAUGCACAGUUUAAGGUAACGGAGCACACGUUUAGAUUUAAGUGAUGUCGAGAAAGAGUCUCCCACAAAAGUGCUCACCUUGCUUUGUGGCCAACAGCACCGCUGUGGGCACUUGGCGUUGUGGGCACAGGACUCUCAUGGAGUCCGAACCCCUGGUGAGCUUUGUCCACGUGACGCACUGAAGUCAGAAGCAGAAGGCUGCUUAGGCAUGUCAAGAAGAUGGCGGAAGGAUGUUUUGAAUUUCAGUUUGUGCCCGUCCCUUCUCCCCUCAGACUUGGUCUCCUCGUUUCUUCUGUGUUGUUCUGUCAGGGAUAAAGACAGUUCUGAAACCUCAUUUUUGAUGGCUGCUGUUAACCUAAACAACUCUCAUCCCCCAAGAAGAGGGCCUGACCUCAGGGAUGGUGCUGCUCAUGGCUCCUUCGUCUUCAGAGACGCAGCAGGGACGCUGCUACUGUGUGACAGUGCAUGGCUGUUUCCAUGUGCUGCUUCGCCUUUGUCUGCAAGGAUCUGUCUCCCCACUUGCAGAGCACAGAGGUGUCCAGGUGGCACUAACUGUCCCCACCCCUUCUCCAGGCUCCUUUCUGCUGUUCCAGGACAGCCUGCCCUGUGCUGGUAUAUGUUCUGUCAGGCUUCAAGCUCCUUCCCACCCUGGGCUGCCCACAAACACAGUGGAAAACACAGCUCAGCCUUGUAAGCCUUUUAAGAGCCAGACCCUCUCCAUUUGCUGAGUAAACUUGCCCAGGGUUAAAAUACCCCUUGCCCUAGGAAUAAAGACAACAUAAAGUGAAAA
rnacentral:sRNA from 1 species